UACUCUGUACCAGCAGCAGGCACCAGGGCAUCAGGCUCUCCCGGAACUCUGCAGCCGCAUCGGCUCUGAUCAUUUCAACAUCGGGGUUCGGUCCAACAUGGCGGCUUACGGAUGGAAAUACUGAUGACAGUCCGAAAGAUCGCCUCGAUUUGUACGAUGGGCGCCAAUGCCUCAGCCUUGGAAAAGGAGAUUGGACCGGAACAGUUUCCCGUUAAUGAACACUACUUUGGAUUGGUCAACUUUGGGAACACCUGCUACUGUAACUCAGUGCUGCAGGCGCUGUACUUCUGUCGACCGUUCAGGGAGAAGGUGUUGGCGUACAAGGUGCAGCCGCGUCGUAAGGAGUCCCUCCUCACCUGUCUGGCCGACCUGUUCAACAGCAUCGCCACGCAGAAGAAGAAAGUCGGAGUCAUACCUCCCAAGAAAUUCAUCUCUCGACUGAGAAAAGAAAAUGAGCUGUUUGACAACUACAUGCAGCAAGACGCCCACGAAUUCCUUAACUACCUCCUCAACACCAUCGCAGACCUCCUCCAGGAGGAGAAGAGCCAGGAGCGACAGCAGAAUGGAAAACUGGUGCAGAACGGAGGAGGAGGAGGAGGAGGGACGGGAGGAGGGACGGGAGGAGGAAGUGAGGGAGGAGGAGGAGGAGAAGGUGAAGGCGGAAAGGAGGCACAACAGACUUGGGUCCAUGAGAUCUUCCAGGGAACACUGACCAACGAGACGCGCUGCCUCAACUGUGAAGCUGUGAGCAGCAAAGACGAGGACUUCCUGGAUCUGUCGGUUGAUGUGGAGCAGAACACCUCCAUCACGCACUGUCUCAGGGGUUUCAGCAACACAGAGACGUUAUGUAGUGAAUACAAAUACUACUGUGAGCAGUGUCGCAGCAAACAGGAAGCCCAGAAAAGGAUGAGGGUAAAGAAGCUCCCGAUGAUCCUCGCCCUCCACCUGAAGCGCUUUAAAUACAUGGACCAGCUGCACCGCUACACCAAACUGUCCUAUCGCGUUGUCUUCCCUCUGGAGCUCCGCCUCUUCAACACGUCCGGGGACGCCACCAACCCCGACCGCAUGUACGACCUGGUGGCUGUCGUUGUACACUGUGGCAGUGGUCCCAACCGCGGACACUACAUCACCAUCGUCAAGAGCCACGGCUUCUGGCUGCUGUUUGAUGACGACAUCGUAGAGGAGAAAACAUGGCAGCCUGCGUAGAGACAACACAGUCUGACAUCCUUCUAGCAUGUGUGAUAGCACUCGGCUAACGGUAUCCAGCUCACCUCUCAGCACGCUGUCAUCCACACCGUUGCUCACGCAACAGCAGUUAGAGAAAAAAAUUGACGCGCAGGCGAUCGAGGAGUUCUACGGUCUGACAUCGGACAUUUCCAAGAACUCGGAGUCAGGAUACAUCCUGUUCUACCAGUCCAGAGACUGAACCAGCCAGAGGUAAAUCCCCAACAGACUGUCGCUCAACAGAGGGGGAGGCGCUUAUGGCUGCCACCGGCUCCGCCCAGUACGCUCACAUAAGUAUCCAGGCUUUAUUUCCUGUAGGCGGAGCGCCACUCGGAUGGGUUGAGACAUGUGCAGGUCGCAUGCCAGCCUCCUGGAUUACGACCGUUCAAAUUCCUCUGGGCCCACACUGCAAAAAGCACCUUAAAAAAAAGUCUACAACACUCGCUUUGCACUGGGGCAUCAGCUGGGAAGACCGAGUAACACCAAUCCAAGAGGCUGACAUCGCCGUGAGCACAGCGGUCCAUUUUUGGAGGUAAGAGCAGUUUGGGACUGUUGAGACAAUGCAGAGUAACCAAUCAACUGUUUCGGAUGAGAUACGGGAUUGUAAUCCUACUCGUCACGGUCAUCGCAGUCUUCUUUAACCUUUUUUGUGUGUAUAAUAUACCAUGCUAAAUUAGCUUUACGCUAACACACAAGUACCGUGCGUUCACCCCCCCUAAAAAUCCUUCUGGAGACAUAGAAACUAAUAUCUGACAGCCUUGUUAAGACACCCCACCUGUCAUAACAAAACCACUGACACUACUACCUUUAGUGAUGGAGUAGCUUGAACGAUGGUGUUGGAGCGCAGAGCAGUGAAGCAGUUGCUAGUUUGCAGUGUUUGUAUCAUGAAGUGGUGCUAAUAACAUACUGUACAGUGUUAAAGGCCGAGCGUGAAAUGAAAACCAGCCACCAGAGAGAUGUUGACCAAUCUGAUAGAGGGGCUCAUUAAUAUUUUUUUUACUAAGAAAUUAUCUUAAAUAUUGAAAAAAAAAAAUCCAGAUUUGACAAAAAUAUAUAAUAAUUUAAGCAUUAACUGUAGAUUACAUUGAAAGAGGGCCUUGUUUUCUGUAAAUUUCCGCAAUUUUUUUGUCCUAAUCCUUUUUAAAAUCUCGAGGUUUUCAGCAAAAAUUGGUAAAAAAAAUAAAACAAGGAGCCUUACAGAUCAUCAACAACGCUGUUUCAGUUUGAAAAGGCUACACGUAGCUGGCGAAGCAAUGCGUGAAAGUGGCUGGGCAAAGUUUGAGUUUUAAAGUUACUGGUGUGUCGUGACAUUACGGGUCAUGUUUGGUGCCACAGCGGAAAAACGGUAUUGGACGAAGAGCGGUCAGGUGUUCCGACGUUAAACAACAUAAGCUAACUUUUUUUUUUUAAAGCAAGCUUUUCAUGGUUUUGACAGCAAACACGGCCUCCUUUUUCAGUUUUCUUUGAAAGAUUUGUGUUUUAACAUUUUUGACUUUUUUUUUUUUUUUUUUUUUAAAGCCAGAUUAUGCACAUUUGUACCAUUUUUAAAGGGACACGUACAGAGACAAAUAUUUUGUAUUUCCUUUAAGUCAGUUCUGACAUCCAAACUGUCACACUACGUACAGGUUGAAUGUUUGUAUUUAGUGCGUCUUGUCCUUUU